rnacentral:rRNA from 1 species
GACGAACGCUGGCGGCGUGCUUAGCACAUGCAAGUCGAACGGAAAGGCCCUGCUUUUGUGGGGUGCUCGAGUGGCGAACGGGUGAGUAACACGUGAGUAACCUGCCCUUGACUUUGGGAUAACUUCAGGAAACUGGGGCUAAUACCGGAUAGGAGCUCCUGCUGCAUGGUGGGGUUGGAAAGUUUCGGCGGUUGGGGAUGGACUCGCGGCUUAUCAGCUUGUUGGUGGGGUAGUGGCUUACCAAGGCUUUGCCGGGUAGCCGGCCUGAGAGGGUGACCGGCCACAUUGGGACUGAGAUACGGCCCAGACUCCUACGGGAGGCAGCAGUGGGGAAUAUUGCACAAUGGGCGGAAGCCUGAUGCAGCAACGCCGCGUGCGGGAUGACGGCCUUCGGGUUGUAAACCGCUUUCGCCUGUGACGAAGCGUGAGUGACGGUAAUGGGUAAAGAAGCACCGGCUAACUACGUG